AACGUAGGACACGAGCGUUAUCCGGAGUUACUGGGCGUAAAGGGCGUGCAGGCGGUUUUGUAAGUUUGAUGUGAAAGCGCCCGGCUUAACCGGGCGAGGACAUUGGAGACUGCAAGACUAGAGGCAGAUAGAGGGGUGUAGAAUUCCGGGUGUAGUGGUGAAAUGCGUAGAGAUCCGGAGGAAUACCAGAGGCGAAGGCGGCCCCCUGGGUCUGACCUGACGCUGAGACGCGACAGCAUGGGGAGCGAACGGG
rnacentral:rRNA from 1 species